GCGGCGCGGGGCGCGGCGGAGUGGACCGUACCAAGUGCGCUUUGCGUGCAGCGAUCUCGUUGGUGCUUCCGGGACCCGUGCGCAUGCAGCCGGGACGAGCAAGAGAUGUGGCGCGUGGUCGCGACCAAGAGGGCUGCGGGAGAGGGCUGCCCGCCCCCCACUUGCUAAUCACCGUCGUGGGGUUACCACCCUCAACCCCUGCAGUCCCUCCGGGACUCCAGCUGUCAAAAUGCCUGGAAGACGGGGCAUUCUGCGGGCCGUGCCAUUUGGAGGGGGUAGGAGCGAGCAAGAGCCAGGCUUUACGUCAGGCAUAAAAGAAAUAAAUUGUGUCAGCGCCUCACUCCAGGGACAGGUACGACUUGGUAAGAAGUAAAGCGCUUCCUGGGAAAACUGGAUGCAGAAAACUGAUGUCUUCCUAUGUCACUUCCCCCAACGCAGGUUGGGUAGGAGUGAGUUGGGUCCCGUGGCUACCGCUGAUUGGUUGCGAUAAAGUUACGCGGACCAAUGAGAAAAAGAAAGAAAAAAUUCUGGCCUAUAGGAAGAGAACAGCAGAGCUUCAAACUCCACAAGAACGAGGCUCAGAAACCUAAAAACAAGGCAGCAGUUGUGGCGGAGCAGAGCUGAGGGCCGAGGAAAGGCAGUCAUUGCUCCCAAGAAGGCGUGCGUUGUGCAGCAGCAAAAGCUGAAGAAGACCCUGGAAGUGGGGAUCCGGAAGAAGACUGAGCAUGACGUGGUGAUGAAAGCCAACUCCAGCCUGCCCAAGAAGCUCACACUGCUGAAGGGUGCAUCAAAGAAGACGGGGGCCACCAUGCCCAGCAAGACACCAUCCUAAAGGCACUGGGACUUUGCAGGUGACCCCACAGGCUGGCUGGACUUGAAGAGGACCUUGCUCUAGUCCUGAUUGCACCUGGGACAGCAAUGGGCAGAUGACCCUUGGCAAAAAACUAGCCACCACAGAAAUUGCCCACCAGAACUAGAUAAGACCGUAUUGCUGAAGACACUGAGCUCCUUGGCUGCACGGUAUGGAGAAAUGAAGCUGCAACUGAGCUGGGAGUUUCUCCCUUGCUGGCCAGCUUUCACGGUCUCAGAACUCUCAGAAGUUUCUCCCUUGCUGGCCAGGUUUCACAGUCUCAGAACUCUCAGAAGUUCCUCCCUCGCUGGCCAGGUUUCACAGUCUCAGAGCUCUCAGAACACGCUGCACAAGUUGCUUGGGGAGAAAAGGCAUCACUGAUCUUACCUCGCUGUGAACCCCGUGAACUCCAAGACCAAUCAGCCAGGCAGGAUGUGUCCAGUUGUAUAAUAGUGGCAUUACUGGUAUGGGGUAACUGAUCCAGUCACACUCUGUUUGGAUUUGAAGCUCACUCUACAGGAGACAAUCUAUGCUUAUUAAUGUAAGAAUGGUCAAAAACCUAUAGCAGGGAAAGUCAUGGUUCCUGGGGAAAGGAUACUGGUUAGCUAAAUCGGAGGGGGUGGGGGGAGAUGCAGUGGCACAUACCUGCAAUCCCAGCCCGCCUGCACUGAGAUAGGAGGCAGAGACGGGAAAAUCGUCUUGAAACUUGUGGGCCAGCUAGCCAGAAUACUUACCAUGGCAGAAAUAGCAAGAAAGACCAUGUCUCAAUCCGGGGGAGAAAACUGACUCCUCAAAGUUACCCACUGACCUUCUCAAAUUUGUUGUGGCACAAGAGCACCUGUGUGCCACACACACAAUAAAAAGUAAAGUUUUAAAGAU